AGCAGCCGCGGUAAUUCCAGCUCCAAUAGCGUAUAUUAAAGUUGUUGCAGUUAAAAAGCUCGUAGUUGAAUUUCGGGGUUAGUAGGUUGGUCAUGCCUCUGGUAUGUACUGGUCUCACUGAUUCCUCCUUCCUUAUGAACCGUAAUGCCAUUAAUUUGGUGUUGCGGGGAAUUUGGACUGUUACUUUGAAAAAAUUAGAGUGUUUAAAGCAGGCUAACGCUUGAAUACAUUAGCAUGGAAUAAUGAAAUAGGACGUUCGAUCUUAUUUUGUUGGUUUCUAGGAUUGACGUAAUGAUUAAUAGGGAUAGUUGGGGGCAUUAGUAUUCAAUUGUCAGAGGUGAAAUUCUUGGAUUUAUUGAAGACUAACUACUGCGAAAGCAUUUGCCAAGGAUGUUUUCAUUAAUCAAGAACGAAAGUUAGGGGAUCGAAGACGAUCAGAUACCGUCGUAGUCUUAACCAUAAACUAUGCCGACUAGGGAUCGGAUGAUGUUAAAAAAAUGACGCGCUCGGCACCUCAUG
rnacentral:rRNA from 1 species